UCGUUACUGCCGUCGACAGGCGCAGAAUACAAACCGCGACGUGUAGGGACGUGAGUUUGCGUGAAGAGCGCACUACAAGUCGUCGUUUGUGUACAGUGUAGUCUUUGGUAGACGGCAGCUAUGCAUGAGAUGUCUUCGUUGAUUACAGCUGUAAUUGGGAAGGUAUGCAUUAUGAAACUGAACCUAGGACCAACCGCAAUAUAUUGAGAAGAGGCGGUACCAUCGUGGAGUAUCGGCGCUACACGGGUCUGGGAGGCCGAGGCUACUGGUGUAUAGUACUAGUGUACGAACGUCAUAAUUAUCUUUCAACUAACCAUGACCCAGCCAACGCUUGCCUGUGGGUCACCGGCGGCCGAGCUGCUGUCAAAGGGUGCAGAGUUUCUAAGCCAAGCAGCAAGCGACGCUUUGAAUCUGCCUAGAGGUGUAUCACUGCUCGACUACGGUCCAAUUGAAGGUUUCUCCAGUUUUCGGGAGACGCUGGCCUUCUACCUGAGCCGAGGGUACCAAAGAUCAUGUUUGUAGUGUUAGGGAUUAUUGCAAACAUGAUGUGACUGCUGUAUGUGCUACAGUCUACUAUUAAGAACUAGUGCUUAGUUCUUCAUCACAGUGUUUCUGAAAACUUCUAUGAAAGCAUGAAUGGUGGUGGUUACUGGUACACUUCAUUUGCUUGCUAUUUUGGCUGCUUUUGUAUGUAUCUGGGGCCAGGUAACUCAAGUUGCUUGACUAAAAUUGAAAGAUGUGUAUGCCUUUGCUCUUCCAAUAUGAAUGUGUUUGAACUGAAAAGUGGACGUGUAUUCUAGUUUGGCCGUGCAACUGGAUAUAUUGAUGGCCAUUGACAA